rnacentral:misc_RNA from 1 species
UGGACUACCCGGGUAUCUAAUCCUGUUCGAUCCCCACGCUUUCGUGCCUCAGCGUCAGAACGGCGCCGGUACGCUGCCUUCGCAAUCGGAGUUCUGCGCGAUAUCUAUGCAUUUCACCGCUACACCGCGCAUUCCGCGUACUUCUCGCCGUCUCAAGUCCCCCAGUCUAAACGGCUCGGCGGGGUUGAGCCCCGCGAUUUUGCCGCUUACUUAAGGAACCGCCUACGCACCCUUUAAACCCAAUAAAUCCGGAUAACGCUCGCAUCCUCCGUAUUACCGCGGCUGCUGGCACC